rnacentral:rRNA from 1 species
UACGAAGGGGGCUAGCGUUGCUCGGAAUCACUGGGCGUAAAGCGCACGUAGGCGGCUUUCUAAGUCAGGGGUGAAAUCCUGGAGCUCAACUCCAGAACUGCCUUUGAUACUGGAGAGCUCGAGUCCGGGAGAGGUGAGUGGGAACUCCGAGUGUAGAGGUGAAAUUCGUAGAUAUUCGGAAGAACACCAGUGGCGAAGGCGGCUCACUGGCCCGGUACUGACGCUGAGGUGCGAAAGCGUGGGGAGCAAACAGGG